rnacentral:misc_RNA from 1 species
AUAUCUCAGCCCGAAAGUUGAAUUUUUGAAAUACAACUGAGGGUUGGACUUGGAGGUAUUGCUGGCCUAGAGUCAGCUCCUCUCUAAAUGUAUUAGCAAAAUCUUUCAAGAUGUAGCUCAGUGUGAUAAAUUAUCUUACAUUGUGCAUAUGCGUCUUGCUUGUGCUACCCUGCCUCUAGUGCGGAUGUGUGGCAAAAGAUUGAGCUUCUAACUGUCAUUAGACAAUUUAAUUGAC